CGGUCAGGAAGGGGGAGAGUAUCCGAUCAGAUGAGAAACAGAUACACAGCAAGAUUUGUAUAAAUAUCGUAAAUCGUAAUGGUGUCGAUAAAUGACAGUCACCGCAGCCAAUCAGAACAAGUAAUUUAAAAUCCCUUUCACACACCCCACCCUCCAACGCAACCUACGGCGAACCUGACCGCGAAGAUCGGGUGUCGCUCCUUCGCCUCCUCUACGCCCGUAAUUAUCCGCCUUGUUCGACCCAACGGAAAAGGACAAUAAUAGAUAUAUUUAAAAGAAAAUUUCUUGAAGAAACUCCUUUCUUCGUUUUCCUUUAAUCAUUGAUUACCUGUCUGCUGAUUGAUUUUGUGAAUGGCGAAGGUUAGUAAGGUGAAAGGCAAGGCUGGUUCUCAGCAUCACAGAAUGACUCCAUAUCCUUUGCCAUCACGCCCAAGGAAGAAUUCUAAAGGUUGCCACUCAAAGAAGAAACAUUCAAAAGCUCUGGAGAAGAAUGAUUGGGAAGGUGCAACCUGUUCAGUUUGUCUGGAAUACCCGCACAAUGCAGUUCUUCUUCUUUGUUCCUCUUACAACAAGGGUUGCCGUCCUUAUAUGUGCGCAACUAGUAGUCGUUAUUCCAACUGUCUUGAACAAUACAAGAAAGCCUAUACAAAAGUAACUUCAACAGACGAGACACAACAAUUGAACAGGUCAGUGGACAAUUUAAGUUUCAAUUUGGGUGCAGGUCUGGCUAAUGAGAAGAAGGAAGUUCCAGAGCUUUUAUGCCCACUCUGUCGUGGGCAAGUGAAGGGUUGGACAGUGGUAGAACCAGCACGGAAGUAUCUCAAUGGUAAAAAAAGAACCUGCAUGCAGGAGAAGUGCUCAUUUGUUGGAACUUAUAAACAGCUCAGAAAGCAUGUGAAGGGGAAACACCCACUGGCACGACCUCGAGCUGUGGACCCUGUUCUUGAAGAAAAAUGGAAGAAGCUUGAAUGUGAGAGGGAGCGAAAUGAUGUGAUCAGCACAAUUAUGUCAUCAACGCCAGGGGCAGUAGUGCUGGGUGAUUAUGUGAUUGAGCCAGGCCGUCAUGGCAUUUUCAAUGAUUAUGAUUAUGAUUCAGACGAAUCUUUGGAUGAUGGGUUCUUUCCUUUGGAGUCCUUCAAUCGAGGACAGAGUAGUGGCCGAUAUCACAGUGGCUUUCACCUGGAUUUUGACUCAUUAGACGAGGAUGAUUAUGGGAUGCGUCGUUCUGUGGCUACUGGUCCCGCAGCACUAUCGGGACGUGGUCUCCACAGGUUAUUACUGGGGAGGACAAGGAGAAAUUGGAGGUAUAGAGGAGGCAAUAGGAGUCGAAAUUUAUGAUAAGGUUUCAGCUAUCUUAAAUUGGCUGCUCUUGAUUCGCUUGGCACUUCCAAUCAUGUACCACAUGUGAUGGUUGCCACUUUGGUGUUUACCCUGAUGUGGUAUAGAUAGAUUGAUUGGUGACUAGUGAUUUCAACAAAUAGUAGACAGCAAUUUUUAGAGGGACUUUGAAUUAGGUUAUUAAUUACUUACGAAUGACAAGGGCCAAAGAAUUUCGUUGGUCCAUUUCCUCGUAGGUUCUGUCGUUGCUUUGAGAAUUAUUAUGACAGGUAAUGGCUACACUUAUUUCUUACUUUUGACUGUUGGUUACGUUAUUCUGGUCUUCCUAUGCUCUGUUUGUCUUGCAUUCUUCCCCUUUAAGUUGAUAGUCAUUUUAAAUGGAUUUGGUUC